rnacentral:rRNA from 1 species
GACGAACGCUGGCGGCGUGCUUAACACAUGCAAGUCGAACGGAAAGGCCCGGCUUUUGUGGGGUGCUCGAUUGGCGAACGCGUGAGUAACACGUGAGUAACCUCUCCUUGACUUUGGGGUAACUUCAGGAAACUGGGGCUAAUACCGGAUAUGAGCUCCUGCUGCAUGUGGGUGGUUGGAAAGUUUCGGCGUUUGGGGCUGGACUCGCGGCUUAUCCGCUGGUUGGUGGGGUAGUGGCUGUCCAAGGCUUUGACGGGUAGCCGGCCUGAGAGGGUGACCGGCCACAUGGGGACUGCGAUACGGCCCAGUCUGCUACGUGACGCAGCAGUGGGGAAUAUGGCAGAAUGGGCGGAAGCCUGAUGCAGCAACGCUGCGUGCGUGAUGACGGCCUUCGGGUUGUAAACCGCUUUCGCAUGUGACGAAGCGUGAGUGACGGUAAUGGGUAAAGAAGCCCCGGCUAACUACGUG